AUACUUGCCUGCCAGGGGAGAUACCGUGAUUCCGAAGGUGGAUUUCCCAGUUCAAGGCUGAUCUAUUGCACUCCAGAUGUGCUGACCCAUGAGGUUUCCCCAAAUGUGGGAAACUCAACUGCAUAAUUUGUGGAGGUGAAGGACUGUGUUUGUGCUUUUAUGUG